rnacentral:lncRNA from 1 species
CCCAAAGGCUUACCGUCUCACCGUUGCCAUUCAUGAAGUGCAAUGACUGCCCGCGGAAUGUUGCGUGCCGCGUCUCUACGACGCCGGAACAUCUCCAAUGCGUGUUCGUCAAGUGCAAAAAUGAUGGGGGUACAUGCUUCACUUGGCUCGGUUUGCCGCUAGGCUUGGAUGAAAUUUCGGUAGCUUAUUUGCUCAAACUUAUGUGUAGGAGGGAUG